rnacentral:rRNA from 1 species
GGUAACGCCUGCCCAGUGAGAGACUUUUCUUAAACGGCCGCGAUACAACCGUGCGAAGGUAGCGAAAUCAUUUGUCUCCUAAAUAGAGACCAGUAUGAAAGGCUCCAUGAGAAAGAGACUGUCUCUUGAAGAUAGCCAAUGAAACUGAUCUGCCUGUGCAAAAGCAGGCAUAACAAAACAAGACAAAAAGACCCUGUGAAACUUAAAAAUAAAUGUCAAUAAUAUGACAACAUUUUUUGGUUGGGGCAACCAAAGAGAAACAAAAUCUCUUAAUAUACUAGACCAACAAGUCCAAUUUAACAAAAGACCCAGUAAAACUGAUCAACGGACCAAGCUACUCCAGGGAUAACAGCGCUAAAUUCUUGAAGAGUUCACAUCAACAAGAAUUCUUACGACCUCGAUGUUGGAUCAGGAUACCCAAGCAGUGCAAAAGCCGCUAAUGGUUCGUUUGUUCAACGAUUAAUAUCCU